AGUCUGCAGCCCUGGAAGUGCCUUGAGUUGCGUUUGUACUCUGGGACUGUUGGGCUUGCAGAUAGAGCAUUGGGCGGAGGAAGCCGAGGCAGGCCUGUAAAAAGCAUCAGCAGCUCCAUGUGCAAUAUUCCUCUGACACUCCCAGAACUGUUGCCACGGAGGUAAUGACCAUCCCAAUGUCAUUAUCCAUCCAUCAACAGUCAGAACAACCCUGCAGUGGGAUAUCGUUUGGCAACCAGAGCGCUGUUGCCGAACACUGAAAACUGCUACAGAU